rnacentral:rRNA from 1 species
UACGUAGGGGGCAAGCGUUGUCCGGAUUUACUGGGCGUAAAGAGCGCGCAGGCGGUCGUUCAAGUCGAGUGUGAAAGCCCCCGGCUCAACCCGGGAAGUGCACUCGAAACUGACAGGCUUGAGUACGGAAGAGGGUCUCGGAAUUCCCGGUGUAGAGGUGAAAUUCGUAGAUAUCGGGAGGAACACCAGUGGCGAAGGCGGAGACCUGGGCCGAUACUGACGCUGAGGUGCGAAAGCGUGGGGAGCAAACAGG